AGGAGGAACAGCCCCAGUGGCGCCCCAGCCCUCUGGAAACCUGGAUUCAGCUCCUGUAGGAACUCCGUCUGCAGGGCCUGGAGGCUCCGGGGCGGG
rnacentral:pre_miRNA from 1 species